ACAGUUCAGAUCACACACAAGAUUGUUAGAGAAAAUUCCCCGGGAACACAGUAGCAAUUGCCAGCUGAGCCAGGCCAGGGGCGGGGCUUCCUGAUGGCAGCAGAACAGAGUAGGGAAACCCCAGCACCUGAGAACUGUAGUCGACUGUCAGCUCUUAAGAAUAAUACUCAUUGACAUGCAUUUCGUGGCACUGGGGAUUGGUCAAAGCUAGAGUCAAGCUUGCUACCAAGCAUUUCAAAACCCGUGCCAGGAGAGUGAGCCCGCCCCCGCCCCUGCCUGGAGACCCAGGACCCACAGACUGGAGACCCAGGAUAGAACCAAACAUGACUGGAGGAAAAGCAAAAAGGCAUUGUAAUGAUUUCUAACAAUAUUCUGCUAUACUCACAGGUGCGCUCUCAGGUGAGAGGGCUGUGGAGCACGUGACUUAGGAUAAUUGCUGCUUGCCACAGGUCCUCGGGGACUUUUGACUCACCUGCCUUGGCUAAACGGGAUUAAGAGGCUUGAGAAAGAGGAAGUUCUGCAACAUUCAUUCCCGGCUCUCGGUGGCAGCCCUCCAGGCCUCCCACUCACGCUGGCUGAGCAGGCGCAAGCGCCCCAGAGAGCCUCGCCUACCUCUUGCAUUGAGCCAGCUGGAGUCUGAACUCCACCAGAGGGUCCUGAGGCACCGAGGGCCUCAGCGCAGCUGUCAUUCCUUGAGGACAGAGAAGGAAAGGGACUGGAAAGUGGCAGGAUUUGGAGGCAACCAGGACUCUGGGCCUUGGGCAACACCUCUGCCCUGCAUCUCUCCGGCCUGAGCUUGCGGAACUUCUCUGCGGCCUCACACUUUCCCAGCUUAAGAGUGAGGAGGCUGGAGAAUGACUCAGAGCUUGAGAGCACUGGCUGUUCCUCCAGAGGUCCUGGGUUCAAUUCCCAGCAACCACAUGGUGGCUCACAGCCAUCUGUAAUGGGAUCUGGUGCCAAAAGGAAAAAAAAAAAAUGAGUUUGACUCUGGAGGGAAUUGGGCCCGAAAGCUGCAAUCAUUUUAAUAAGCACUGGUGAGCUCCGUGAUAGGACAGAGGAGUCAGGAAGGAAAUGCAAAAGGGACCACUGAUAGCCAUCGAGACUGAAAAAUCCUCAAACAACCAAAACUACCAGUGCCUAGAAGCGAGGAUAUUUUAGUCGAAGCAAAGAAACCUGUAAACCAAAAGCCCACGGGCAUUGAGGCAACUUUGCAGUCGCUUGCCUGGGGGCUGGAGAAUUUGUUAUGCUGUUCAGGAAAGAGAGAGGGCUACUGAGGACUGGGAAGCCACGUGACCUGCUGGCCAUGUGCACAGCAGACACGGGACAACUGCAGAGAGGUCGUGUGGUAAACCUCGGGAGCAGAAACCUACUUCUCAGCUCACUCUAGGGUUAGAGCAGUGACGUGCAGCACAGAGCCACCCAAAGGCUGAGUCGCCGUGGAUGGCAGGAUCUGAAGCACGGUGAACCAGACUAGUUCCAUGGAGAGGGGCCAGUUGGAAGCUUUCUGGAGGCUGAGGCUGAAUUCACAUAUGACAGAAAGCAGGAAUCCAG
ensembl:lncRNA